rnacentral:rRNA from 1 species
GAUGAACGCUGGCGGCGUGCCUAACACAUGCAAGUCGAACGGAGUCCAGCCUUUAAGACCUUCGGGUCAAAGAGGGGAAGACUGAGUGGCGGACGGGUGAGUAACACGUGGGCAACCUGGCUCAUAGAGGGGGAUAACAGAGAGAAAUUUCUGCUAAUACCGCAUAAGCACACACUGCCGCAUGGCAGAGGGUGAAAAGAGAAUCGCUAUGAGAUGGACCCGCGUCUGAUUAGCCAGUUGGCAGGGUAAGAGCCUACCAAAGCGACGAUCAGUAGCCGAUCUGAGAGGAUGAACGGCCACAUUGGGACUGAGACACGGCCCAAACUCCUACGGGAGGCAGCAGUGGGGGAUAUUGCACAAUGGGGGGAACCCUGAUGCAGCGACGCCGCGUGAGUGAAGAAGUAUUUUGGUAUGUAAAGCUCUAUCAGCAGGGAGGAUAAUGACAGUACCUGAAUAAGAAGCCCCGGCUAACUACGUG